rnacentral:lncRNA from 1 species
UUGCUUUCAUAACUAUGAGUUUUGUGGUCGGUAACUUGUACAAUUCUCAUUUUCUUCUCCUCAGAUCAAUGUUGGCUGUGAAAACUAUGACGCAAGUUAUCACCAGAGAGGGCCAGAUCGGGUAAGGAUGCCUUUCCAAAUUCUCUGUCUCUGGAGAUUGCCGUUACCUGAUUGGUGUGCCUUCCUCCAGAGAGGACAAGACCAGCCCGCUCCUCCUGAAAAGCAAGGGUGUGAACGGAUCAACGCUGAAGCUGAAGCGCCCUUAAGCAAAUGGGAAUUGUAUGACUUCUCAGCAAUAUGUGCUUGAAAGUUGUUCUACUUGGCAGAAGAAAGGAUUUGAUGAAGUAAUUUCUUGUUAAAGGAAAGGAACUGAUAGAGUAAUUUCUUCAAAAUUCUUCAAUUGAGGAGAGUUCAUAAUACACUGCCUCAGAGAA